rnacentral:lncRNA from 1 species
GAAUCAGCUUUUAAAUAUCUUAUUUAAAAGCCGGUUCUUAGUUUUUUAGUUAAAAGUUAAGAGACGGUUUCUUAUAUUUCGCUAAGAACUUCAUCCUAAGAACUCUCUAUUAAUCAUGCUCUUAGUAUUGUAACAUCUAAAAAAUCACACACGUCGCUAUGCUCAGUAAUAAUGUAUUCACUUGACGAACAAUAAAAUUGAUAUGAUAUUAUUCAAUCUUAAGUGUUUGUUUUGCAAUGUGUCGCACUUACCUCUCUUCUAUGGACAUGUUCGUUUCUCCAUCUGGAUGAGCCAUCUGGAUGGAGAUGAGAGAUCUGUACGUUUAGACACUAAAAGUGCAACUCAUUCAGAUGGAUCAUCCAGAUGACUUUCAGAAAUUUAAAUGUAAUUUUAAAAUUCAGCUGGCUGAUCCAAAUUGAACCAUCUAGAUGGAGAUGGUUCUGUCACAAAUGAUAUAAUGUUUAUUAUACCCCUGAUGUAAUUCACAAAUUAAAACCUAAACAUAACAUCAUUUUGUCACAUACAAAAAAUAACAAAACCACA